UACGAAGGGGGCUAGCGUUGCUCGGAAUCACUGGGCGUAAAGCGCACGUAGGCGGCUUUUUAAGUCAGGGGUGAAAUCCUGGAGCUCAACUCCAGAACUGCCUUUGAUACUGAGAAGCUUGAGUCCGGGAGAGGUGAGUGGAACUGCGAGUGUAGAGGUGAAAUUCGUAGAUAUUCGCAAGAACACCAGUGGCGAAGGCGGCUCACUGGCCCGGUACGGACGCUGAGGUGCGAAAGCGUGGGGAGCAAACAGG
rnacentral:rRNA from 1 species